UACGUAGGGUGCAAGCGUUGUCCGGAAUUAUUGGGCGUAAAGAGCUCGUAGGCGGUUUGUCGCGUCGGCUGUGAAAACCCGGGGCUCAACCCCGGGCCUGCAGUCGAUACGGGCAAACUAGAGUGUGGUAGGGGAGACUGGAAUUCCUGGUGUAGCGGUGAAAUGCGCAGAUAUCAGGAGGAACACCGGUGGCGAAGGCGGGUCUCUGGGCCGAUAUUGACGCUGAGGAGCGAAAGCGUGGGGAGCAAACAGG
rnacentral:rRNA from 1 species